UUUAGUUGUAUCUUUUUUUUUCUUAACUCUCUCUCUAGGGCCAAGUUGACAAACCUAUGGCAUGUGUGCCAGAGCAUGCUGGAGGAGGCUGCUCCCUUCCCCCUUUCCACUCAUGCCUCUGGACAUUUCUCACAUCACUUGUCCCUCUGCCCAGCAGAGUGCUAGGAGUGCGUCCUCUCUCUCCUGUUUGGAGUAAGAUUUUCCAUAGGAGUCAGUGUAAUCUAGUAGAAGAGGAAGAACUGGACAGAAGAGGAUCAUCAGAUCUAGUUUCUAGUUCCACAUGGGGUAUAAAUGACUGGCAAAAGUCACUUAUCUCUCCUGAAACUUUUUUUUUCAUCUAUAAUUUGAAGGAAUUAGACUAAGUAAACUAGAGUCUCUGUCAGUGUUAAAUUCUAUGUCUUUAAGUACCUUUAGAAGAAAAAGCUUAUAAUCUGGAGCUGGAAGGUAUGUUAGAGAUAAUCCAGUCACUGAAUUAUAGUCAUAGAGCUGGAAGGGAGCAGAGAAGCCAUCUAGUCCAAACAACAAUUCCCCCCACACCCCAAUAUUACCUAGGAAACCAAUGCCAAAGGAAAUUAAGUGACUUUCCCAAGGUCUCAUAUAUAGUAAAUAAAAAGGAGAGGAUUCAAAUUCA
rnacentral:lncRNA from 1 species